rnacentral:rRNA from 1 species
CUGCUCAGGACGAACGCUGGCGGCAUGCCUAAUACAUGCAAGUCGAGCGAAUGACGAAGAAGCUCGCUUCUUCUGAUUUAGCGGCGGACGGGUGAGUAACACGUGGGCAACCUGCCCUGUAGAUUGGGAUAACUCCGGGAAACCGGGGCUAAUACCGAAUAAUCCAUUUCCUCACAUGGGGAGAUGUUAAAAGACGGUCUCGGCUGUCACUACAGGAUGGGCCCGCGGCGCAUUAGCUAGUUGGUGAGGUAACGGCUCACAAGGCGACGAUGCGUAGCCGACCUGAGAGGGUGAUCGGCCACACUGGGACUGAGACACGGCCCAGACUCCUACGGGAGGCAGCAGUAGGGAAUCUUCCACAAUGGACGAAAGUCUGAUGGAGCAAUGCCGCGUGAGUGAAGAAGGUUUUCGGAUCGUAAAACUCUGUUGUGAGGGAAGAACAAGUACGAGAGUAACUGCUCGUACCUUGACGGUACCUCAUUA